AACGAACGCUGGCGGCGCGCCUAACACAUGCAAGUCGAACGAGAAGCUGUAGCAAUACAGUUGUACAGUGGCGAACGGGUGAGGAAUACAUGGGUGACCUACCCUCGAGUGGGGAAUAACCAGCCGAAAGGUUGGCUAAUACCGCGUACGUUUCCCAGUUUACGGAUUGGGAAGGAAAGCGAUGCCGUGGGUAUCGCGCUCAAGGUUGGGCUCAUGUCCUAUCAGCUUGUUGGGAGGUAACGGCUCACCAAGGCAACGACGGGUAGCUGGUCUGAGAGGACGAUCAGCCACACUGGCACUGCGACACGGGCCAGACUCCUACGGGAGGCAGCAGUGAGGAAUAUUGCGCAAUGGGCGAAAGCCUGACGCAGCGACGCCGCGUGGGGGAGU
rnacentral:rRNA from 1 species